rnacentral:tRNA from 1 species
UUCUUAUUAGUUUAAAAAGAAUAAUUGAUUUCCAAUCAAUAGGGUUACUAAAAAGUAAAUAAGAAA